GGUAUAAAAUUCAUACCCACCGCGGGGAUGGGGAUGGGGAUGGGUUUUAGGUGUUACCCGCCCCAUCCCCGCCCCGCCCCGCCUUACGAAAUGUACAAAUUUUGAAAAUUGGAAUACCCUAAAUUAUUUUUCAAAUUUCUGAAUUUUUUAAACCUUGAAUUAUUUUCAAAUUUUUUAAAAAACUUUGGAUUGGGCCUUUGAAAACAGAAAACUUUUAAAAAUUAUUUGCUUCACAGUCACAGUUCACUGCUUCAAAAAUCAAAACCCUAAAUUAUUUCUUUCAAAACCUAAUGCUGGCCGUCAUUUCUCAUUUGCUUCACUCAUUCUGUCAUUCACUGGUCACUGCUUCAUUUGCUUCACUGCUGCACUCUCUCCCAUCUUCUUCUUCUUGAAACACUCUUUUCUCUCUUCUUGAAACUGCAUAUCGUCAUCUUCUUUAAUCGUCUCUCUUUUCUCCAGUCAAUCGUCAUCUUCUUCAAUCUUGAAACCAUCAAUAGGAGGUUCUAGUUCCAAAAGAAAGGUCACUUCAACUCCGUCGGUAUCAACAACACCUUCGAUUAGUAAUUAUAAUUAUGAACCAAAUUAUCCAGAAGGGUACGACCAAGAAUUACACGAUUAUGUAGAAGAAGUGGAAAGAGAAAUAACAAAUUGAUGAAGAAGAAGAACAAGAAGAGGAACCAACGACCCCUAUUGAGAUACAAAGAUCUCGACAGUCAUCAACAAGAUCACAUGAAGAACAACUACAACAACAACAACAAAGACAAGCUCGUGGUAAACGAGUCAAUUAAUUUCCAAACUAUCGAUGAAGAUGAACCAGUAAGACAACAUUUUCUGGCGAUACCACCUCCUAGUGGUAGAGUUGUUUCACAUGUGUGGUGGUGGUACGGGAUCUUUUAACAAACAUUUGGCAAAGAAGCAUGGAAUCACAAAAGAAACUCAUGCAGCAAGUGGCAGCGGGACCACAAGUGGAAGCCGACAGUGGGACAUUCCCAGCGUGUAACAACCGUUUUUUUUUAAAAUAAUAAUAAUAAUAAUCCAAGAACGAUCCAAGAACGCAUGAGGGAAGCGCAAGAUCGUCAGAAGUCGUAUGCAGACAAAAAGAGGAGAGCAUUAGAGUUUGAAGUAGGUGAACAAGUUUUGCUCAAAGUGUCACCAACCAAGGGUGUCAUGAGAUUUGGUAAGAAGGGUAAAUUGAGUCCUCGUUUUAUAGGUCCUUAUGAAGUAUUGGAACGAAUUGGGGAAGUAGCCUAUAGAUUAGCCCUACCUAUGAACCUAGCUAAAGUCCACAAUGUUUUCCAUGUAUCCCAACUCCGAAAAUAUGUCCAUGACCCUUCACAUAUCAUACAACCUGAAACCAUUGAACUUGAUGAAACCCUUACCUUUGAAGAAAAACCAAUAAAAAUCCUUGAUACCAAAACAAGAUGUACCCGGAACAAGGAAAUUAAGUUGGUCAAGAUAUUAUGGACGAACCAGCAAACCGAAGAAGCUACAUGGGAAAUCGAAGUUGACAUGAGAAAGCGAUAACCCGAACUGUUCGAACAGGUACGUUGAGUUUCGAGGACGAAACUUUUUAAAAUAGGGGGGUGAUGCGAGUCUAUCAAAACCGUCCAAUCUUGUUUUUCUUUUAAAACAUCAGUAGUUAACUUUAAGUUUGAGGACGAACUUUUGUUUUAAGGGGGAGUGUAUGUAACAACCGUUUUUUUUAAAAAUAAUAAUAAUAAUAAUAAUGAAUAAAUUUCAGAAAAAAAAAAAUAAAAAAAAUAAAAAAAUAAAAACAUAACCUCCCCCACCAUUAACAAUAACUUCCCACACCAUUAACAAUAACUUCCCACUCCUUCCUCUAAACCUUAUAACCAACUUCACUUACCUCUUAUAAAUUAAACCAAUUACCCUUAAUUUCAUUCACAUUAUUACUCACAAUCCCUUCUUCUCCUACAAAUUACUUCCUUUAUCUUCCAAUUGCUUAAAAUUCAGUCAAGAAAACGCAAGAUUUCGAUAUUAACGACAGUGAAUUCGUAGACAGAGAUUAUUAGGAGCGUACGUUGUCUAGGAUCGCGUGACAAGGUAAUUCUCAAUGUCCAUCUAAUUAGGACUAUCCCGUUAGUAUUAUGUGCUAAGUGAUAAUUAAUGUGUUUAAAUGGGUGCAUGAUUUGAUAUGACAUUAUUUUAUAUGAUGUUAUGCUUAAUAUAUUCUCAAAUUAUAUUUACUA